AAGUGGCGUACGGGUGAGUAACACGUGGAUUAUCUACCUUUUAGUGGGGAAUACCCCUGGGAAACCGGGGACAAUACCGCAUAAGCUCGUGAGAGGAAAGCCGAAAGGCGCUGAAAGAGGAGUCCGCGGCUGAUUAGUUAGUUGGCGGGGUAAUGGCCCACCAAGGCGAAGAUCGGUAGCCGGCCUGAGAGGGCACACGGCCACACUGGCACUGAAACACGGGCCAGACUCCUACGGGAGGCAGCAGUGGGGAAUCUUGCACAAUGGGGGCAACCCUGAUGCAGCGACGCCGCGUGAGCGAUGAAGCCCUUCGGGGUGUAAAGCUCUUUCGACGGGAACGAUAAUGACGGUACCCGAAGAAGAAGCUGCGGCUAACUACGUGCCAGCAGCCGCGGUAAUACGUAGGCAGCGAGCGUUGUUCGGAAUUAUUGGGCGUAAAGAGUGCGUAGGCGGUGCUCUAAGUCUGUCGUGAAAUCUCCCGGCUUAACUGGGAGGGUGCGGCGGAAACUGGAAUGCUAGAGUGUGGGAGAGGUAAGCGGAAUUCCUGGUGUAGCGGUGAAAUGCGUAGAUAUCAGGAGGAACACCCGUGGUGUAGACAGCUUACUGGACCACGAC
rnacentral:rRNA from 1 species